UUUUUAAUUGGGAUCUUGUAUGAAUGAUUGGACAAGAGAAAUACUGUCUUUGUGUUAAAACUUGAAUUUAACUUUUAGGUGAAAAGGCUUAAAUACACUAAAGGGACGAUAAGACCCUAUAAAACUUUACAUUUAGGUUAAAUUUUAUGGAAUUUGAAGAUUAUAAUUAUUAGAUUUAAUUUUUUUGUUGUGUUGGGGAGACAAAAGCUAUAAUUAUAUAUGAUAACUGCUUUUAAUGGAAACAAAAAUAAGUGGGAAUAUUAGAGAUCCUUUAUUAAGAUUAUAAGAUUAAGUUACUUUAGGGAUAACAGCGUUAUUUUUUUUGAGAGUUCAUAUUGAAAAAAAAGAUUGCGACCUCGAUGUUGAAUUAAAAUAUCUUUAUAAUGCAGGUGUUAUAAAAGAAGGUCUGUUCGACCUUUAAUUUUUUA
rnacentral:rRNA from 1 species